CGGGACACGUGGUAUCCUGUCUGAAUAUGGGGGGACCAUCCUCCAAGGCUAAAUACUCCUGACUGACCGAUAGUGAACCAGUACCGUGAGGGAAAGGCGAAAAGAACCCCGGCGAGGGGAGUGAAAAAGAACCUGAAACCGUGUACGUACAAGCAGUGGGAGCACGCUUCGGCGUGUGACUGCGUACCUUUUGUAUAAUGGGUCAGCGACUUAUAUUCUGUAGCAAGGUUAACCGAAUAGGGGAGCCGAAGGGAAACCGAGUCUUAACUGGGCGUUAAGUUGCAGGGUAUAGACCCGAAACCCGGUGAUCUAGCCAUGGGCAGGUUGAAGGUUGGGUAACACUAACUGGAGGACCGAACCGACUAAUGUUGAAAAAUUAGCGGAUGACUUGUGGCUGGGGGUGAAAGGCCAAUCAAACCGGGAGAUAGCUGGUUCUCCCCGAAAGCUAUUUAGGUAGCGCCUCGUGAAUUCAUCUCCGGGGGUAGAGCACUGUUUCGGCAAGGGGGUCAUCCCGACUUACCAACCCGAUGCAAACUGCGAAUACCGGAGAAUGUUAUCACGGGAGACACACGGCGGGUGCUAACGUCCGUCGUGAAGAGGGAAACAACCCAGACCGCCAGCUAAGGUCCCAAAGUCAUGGUUAAGUGGGAAACGAUGUGGGAAGGCCCAGACAGCCAGGAUGUUGGCUUAGAAGCAGCCAUCAUUUAAAGAAAGCGUAAUAGCUCACUGGUCGAGUCGGCCUGCGCGGAAGAUGUAACGGGGCUAAACCAUGCACCGAAGCUGCGGCAGCGACGCUUAUGCGUUGUUGGGUAGGGGAGCGUUCUGUAAGCCUGUGAAGGUGUGCUGUGAGGCAUGCUGGAGGUAUCAGAAGUGCGAAUGCUGACAUAAGUAACGAUAAAGCGGGUGAAAAGCCCGCUCGCCGGAAGACCAAGGGUUCCUGUCCAACGUUAAUCGGGGCAGGGUGAGUCGACCCCUAAGGCGAGGCCGAAAGGCGUAGUCGAUGGGAAACAGGUUAAUAUUCCUGUACUUGGUGUUACUGCGAAGGGGGGACGGAGAAGGCUAUGUUGGCCGGGCGACGGUUGUCCCGGUUUAAGCGUGUAGGCUGGUUUUCCAGGCAAAUCCGGAAAAUCAAGGCUGAGGCGUGAUGACGAGGCACUACGGUGCUGAAGCAACAAAUGCCCUGCUUCCAGGAAAAGCCUCUAAGCAUCAGGUAACAUCAAAUCGUACCCCAAACCGACACAGGUGGUCAGGUAGAGAAUACCAAGGCGCUUGAGAGAACUCGGGUGAAGGAACUAGGCAAAAUGGUGCCGUAACUUCGGGAGAAGG
rnacentral:rRNA from 1 species